CGGACGGGUGAGUAACGCGUGGGUAACCUGCCUUGUACUGGGGGACAACAGUUAGAAAUGACUGCUAAUACCGCAUAAGCGCACAGUAUCGCAUGAUACCGUGUGAAAAACUCCGGUGGUACAAGAUGGACCCGCGUCUGAUUAGCUAGUUGGUAAGGUAACGGCUUACCAAGGCGACGAUCAGUAGCCGACCUGAGAGGGUGACCGGCCACAUUGGGACUGAGACACGGCCAA
rnacentral:rRNA from 1 species